rnacentral:piRNA from 1 species
CAGGAGCAGUAGGAGGAGGAUACGG